rnacentral:rRNA from 1 species
AUUGAACGCUGGCGGCAUGCUUUACACAUGCAAGUCGGACGGCAGCGGGGGUGCUUGCACCUGCCGGCGAGUGGCGAACGGGUGAGUAACAUAUUGGAAUGUACCGAGUAGUGGGGGAUAACCAAUCGAAAGAUUGGCUAAUACCGCAUACGUCCUGAGGGGGAAAGCAGGGGAUCUUCGGACCUUGCGCUAUUUGAGCAGCCAAUAUCUGAUUAGCUAGUUGGUGGGGUAAAGGCCCACCAAGGCGACGAUCAGUAGCGGGUCUGAGAGGAUGAUCCGCCACACUGGGACUGAGACACGGCCCAGACUCCUACGGGAGGCAGCAGUGGGGAAUUUUGGACAAUGGGGGCAACCCUGAUCCAGCCAUGCCGCGUGUCUGAAGAAGGCCUUCGGGUUGUAAAGGACUUUUGUUAGGGAAGAAAAGGGAAGUGUUAAUACCACUUUUUGCUGACGGUACCUAAAGAAUAAGCACCGGCCAACUACGUGCCAGCAGCCGCGGUAAUACGUAGGGUGCGAGCGUUAAUCGGAAUUACUGGGCGUAAAGCGAGCGCAGACGGUUACUUAAGCAGGAUGUGAAAUCCCCGGGCUCAACCUGGGAACUGCGUUCUGAACUGGGUAGCUAGAGUAUGUCAGAGGGGGGUAGAAUUCCACGUGUAGCAGUGAAAUGCGUAGAGAUGUGGAGGAAUACCGAUGGCGAAGGCAGCCCCCCUGGGAUAAUACUUGACGUUCAUGCUCGAAAGUGUGGGUAGUAAACAUGGAUUA